rnacentral:rRNA from 1 species
AGAUAAUAGAUACCCCGGUAGUCCACGCCCUAAACGAUGUCUACUAGUUGUUGGUGGAGUAAAAUCCAUGAGUAAACGCAGCUAAACGCGUGAAGUAGACCGCCUGGGGAGUACGGUCGCAAGAUUAAAACUCAAAGGAAUUGACGGGGGCCCGCACAAGCGGUGGAUUAUGUGGAUUAAAUUCGAUGCAACGCGAAAAACCUUACCUGGCCUUGACAUGCCACUAACGAAGCAGAGAUGCAUUAGGUGCCCGUAAGGGAAAGUGGACACAGGUGCUGCAUGGCUGUCGUCAGCUCGUGUCGCGAGAUGUUGGGUUAAGUCCCGCAACGAGCGCAACCCUUGCCAUUAAUUGCCAUCAUUUAGUUGGGCACUUUAAUGGGACUGCCGGUGACAAACCGGAGGAAGGUGGGGAUGACGUCAAGUCCUCAUGGCCCUUAUGGCCAGGGCUUCACACGUAAUACAAUGGUCGGUACAGAGAGUUGCCAACCCGCGAGGGGAGCUAAUCUCAGAAAGCCGAUCGUAGUCCGGAUUGUUCUCUGC